rnacentral:rRNA from 1 species
CGCCUCUUGCAACAAAACCAAGUAUAAGAGGUCCAGCCUGCCCAGUGACCACAAGUUUAACGGCCGCGGUAUUUUGACCGUGCAAAGGUAGCGCAAUCACUUGUCUUUUAAAUAAAGACCUGUAUGAAUGGCUAAACGAGGGCUUAACUGUCUCCCAUUUCCAGUCAGUGAAAUUGAUUUAUCCGUGCAGAAGCGGAUAUAAAAAUACAAGACGAGAAGACCCUUUGGAGCUUAAGGUACAAAACUCAACCACGUCAAACAACUCUAUAAAAAGCAGCUUAAACCUUGUGGUAACUGAGACCCUACCUUCGGUUGGGGCGACCACGGAGGAAAAUAAAGCCUCCAAGUGGAUUAGGGCUAACCCCCUAAAACUAAGAAAGACAUUUCUAAGCAACAGAACAUCUGACCAUGUAUGAUCCGGCUAACCUAGCCGAUCAACGAACCAAGUUACCCUAGGGAUAACAGCGCAAUCCCCUCCCAGAGUCCAUAUCGACGAGGGGGUUUACGACCUCGAUGUUGGAUCAGGACAUCCUAAUGGUGCAGCCGCUAUUAAGGGUUCGUUUGUUCAACGAUUAAAGUCCUACGUGAUCUGAGUU